rnacentral:lncRNA from 1 species
GCUUCGCCUCACUGAAUUACCAAUGUUUCAUAUGGGUUACAAUCUGCCUUAAGGUUAUCACCUUCUCAGCUAUGUGUUAUGUAUAUACUAUCCCAUGGCGCAGGAGGGAGACAGUUUUUAUAAUGUCGGACUUACCCUGAGGCCUCUCGUGCAGAUAAAAAAAUAAAACUGAAUUGAAUUUGCAUCAAUGAUUUUAAAGACGUUGCUCAGCUUCUACAUUUUGGCCUCAGAACUUUUGCAUAAAACGUCAAAAUAAAAGAUACCUCUUUCUGAUAUUGUUUUUUUUCUCCAAAUAACUGUUAUAGUUGUACGUCCCCGAGGG